CAGAGAUGAUGGCUGGGCAGGGUCUGGGACCUGGCCCUGAGGGUGCUGCCAGCUGAGAUCUGCCUCAUCAGCCAGGCCUGGGAACAGGCAUGAGGACCCAGACUGGGUGCUGGACCAAUGCUCCCAGCAAGAUCUGGAGCUCCUUCAGGGCAGAGACCAUGAGUGAUUCAUCCAGUAAAGCAGGUGGUAUCAAGAAUAGUGUUUGACAGCAGUGGAUAUUUAUCAGGUAUGAGAGAAGAAUGUCCUCAUCAUCCUUGCUGUUCAUCCCUGCUGUUCAUCCCUGCACUUGAGGUCCAACCCAGUGCAGCAAGGCACCAAAAGAAAGGAGGAAGAGUGGGAGGAGUGUGGAGGAAGAAAG